rnacentral:rRNA from 1 species
GAUCCUGGCUCAGGACGAACGCCGGCGGCGCGCCUAACACAUGCAAGUCGAACGAGCGAGAGAGAGCUUGCUUUCUCGAGCGAGUGGCGAACGGGUGAGUAACGCGUGAGGAACCUGCCUCAAAGAGGGGGACAACAGUUGGAAGCGACUGCUAAUACCGCAUAAGCCCACGACCCGGCAUCGGGAAGAGGGAAAAGGAGCAAUCCGCUUUGAGAUGGCCUCGCGUCCGAUUAGCUAGUUGG